rnacentral:rRNA from 1 species
UGGGGAAUUUUGGACAAUGGGCGAAAGCCUGAUCCAGCCAUGCCGCGUGCAGGAUGAAGGCCUUCGGGUUGUAAACUGCUUUUGUACGGAACGAAAAGACUCUGGUUAAUACCUGGGGUCCAUGACGGUACCGUAAGAAUAAGCACCGGCUAACUACGUGCCAGCAGCCGCGGUAAUACGUAGGGUGCAAGCGUUAAUCGGAAUUACUGGGCGUAAAGCGUGCGCAGGCGGUUAUAUAAGACAGAUGUGAAAUCCCCGGGCUCAACCUGGGAACUGCAUUUGUGACUGUAUAGCUAGAGUACGGCAGAGGGGGAUGGAAUUCCGCGUGUAGCAGUGAAAUGCGUAGACAUGCGGAGGAACACCGAUGGCGAAGGCAAUCCCCUGGGCCUGUACUGACGCUCAUGCACGAAAGCGUGGGGAGCAAACAGGAUUAGAUACCCUGGUAGUCCACGCCCUAAACGAUGUCAACUGGGUUGUUGGGUCUUUCACUGACUCAGUAACGAAGCUAACGCGUGAAGUUGACCGCCUGGGGAGUACGGCCGCAAGGUUGAAACUUAAAUGAA